UUUUGCAGCUCUUCUCAGAUACUAUUCCCAAGACCUCAGAGAAUUUUCGGGCACUUUAUGCGUGGUUGUGAUUUUUUUAAAUGUGAUGGAAGUCAUGGAGAGAGCAUAGAUGGUGGGAAAUUUCCAGUGAUGGCUAGGUGAUCGGAGUCGCGGCUGGAUUUCAAAUAUGGUCAACAUCUGGUUAUAGUUGAUAGGUAAAUGCAGUCAAAAGAUAAGUCAGAUAAAGUCAACUGUCAUGUGCGUAAACGGUUAUACUAUCAUUAAGUUGGAUGACACUGAAGGAUUCAAAAGUGUCGCCUAAUGAAGACGUCUUCUAGAGAAGAGCUAUGCUCACCCAAAUUACAAAAAAAGGUUGGUCGAAAUGAGCAAAACAGAGCAGGUUGUUCAUGCCAUGCGACCAGGAGCACCUCAACGUGUCAUAAAAUCACUUUUCAUCUUGGAAUGGAGAAAUCUAGCAGAUCAUGAAAAAAAAGACAAAAAAAAAAAA
rnacentral:lncRNA from 1 species